GGGGGGAGCUGCCUGCCUGCCCACGCACCUUGGUGGGUCAGGAUGGCGUGCCAUGGGGCUCCCUCCCAGCGCCCCAGCAAGCUUUCCCAAGCAUGCUGGUGCGUUUUUCCAUGGCCAUGUGGGAAAUUCGACCGAGUCAAAAAUAGUCCACGCCGAAUCCAGGUCGUACGUGUCCCGGUUCUGGCUGGUCCAACGGAAAAAUGUGGGCAUCUCGUAGUGAGCUUAUCCGGCACCAUGACACAUUUGGCGUGCAGCAAGUUCUUUGCUUGUUCCUCAAGGUCCAAGUCAAAAAUCUUGAUGCCUUCGUCCCUUUGGUCGAGGUGCCGGUCUGGCAUCACAGUGGGUAGUUGCGGUCAUCCCUCGGACGUGCCGAGGCAUCCAGUGUGACCCGUUCCGCACGGAAGGUUGUGGCGCUAGGUGAAGCCUUCACGGGCAUAUCCUUAGCACGAAGGGGGCAAGUUCCCAAUCAUCCGGAAGUGCACUAUGGGCGGUUCAUCAUGGUCGAAGCCAAGGCGCGGCCGUGUUUGACGCGAUCAGCAACGUCUCUCCAGUCGCCUCGUCCCUCGGAAAAGUGUGCUCUGUUGAGGUGCCGGCCUGGCCUCACAGUGCCGAGAUGGGUAGUUGUGCGCAUCCCUCGGACGCGCCGAGGCUUCUAGUGUGACCCGUUCGGCACGGAAGGAUGUGGGUCUACGCGUUCCCUUCAGUGGCAUAUCCGUAGCACUGAGGGGCAAGUUCCCAAACAUCCGGAAGUGCACUCUGGGCGGUUCAACGCGGUCGAAGCCAAGGCAAGGCCAUGGUUGAAGCAAUCAGCAACGUCUCUCCAGUCGCCUCGUCCCUCGGAAAAGUGUUCUCUGUUGAGGUGCCGGCCUGGCCUCACAGUGCGGAGAUGGGUGGUUGUGCGCAUCCCUUGGACGCGCCGAUGCUUCUAGUGUGACCCGUUCGGCACGGAAGGAUGUGGGUCUACGCGUUCCCUUCAGUGGCAUAUCCGUAGCACUGAGGGGCAAGUUCCCAAACAUCCGGAAGUGCACUCUGGGCGGUUCAGCACGGUCGAAGCCGAGGCAAGGCCAAGGUUGAAGCAAUCAGCAACGUCUCUCCAGUCGCCUCGUCCCUCGGAAAUGUGUGCUCUGUUGAGGUGCCGGCCCGGCCUCACAGUGUCGAGAUGGGUAGUUGUGGGCAUCCCUCGGACGUGCCGAGGCUUCUCGUGUGGACCGUUCUGCACGGAAGGAUGUGGCGCUAGGUGUUGCCUUAAUGGGCAUAGCCGUAGCACGAAGGGGCAAGUGUCCAAGCAUCCGGAAGUGCACUUUUGGCGGUUGAACAUGGUUGAGGCCAUGGCGCGGUAGUGGUUGAGGCCAUCAGCAUCGUCUCUGCAGUCGCCUCGUCCCUCGGAAAUGUGUGCUCUGUUGAGGUGCCGGCCUGGCCUCACAGUGCCGAGAUGGGUAGUUGUGGGCAUCCCUCGGACGUGCCGAGGCUUCUCGUGUGACCCGUUCUGCACGGAAGGAUGUGGCGCUAGGUGUUGCUCUAAUGGGCAUGGCCGUAGCACGAAGGGGCAAGUUUCCAAGCAUCCGGAAGUGCACUUUUGGCGGUUGAACAUGGUUGAGGCCAUGGCGCGUUUGUGGUUGAGGCCAUCAGCAACGUGUCCCCUGUUGCCUGUCCCUCGGAAAAGUGUGCGCUGUUGAGGUGCCUGCCUGGCCUCACAGUGCCGAGAUGGGUUGUUGCGGAUACCUCGGAAUUGUCGUGUGUUCAUGUGUGGCCUGAUCUGCACGGAUGGUUUUGGUAAUAUCUUCAGGCACGAAGGGUCAAGUUCCCAAGCAUCCGGAAGUGCACCCUGGGCGGUUCAACACGGUUGGAGCCAUGGGGCGGUCGUGGUCGAAUCAAUCAACAAUGUUUCUCCUGUCGCCUUGUCCCUCGGGAAAGUGUUCUGUUGAGGUGCCGGCCUGGCCUCACAGUGCAGAGUUGGUUUGUUGCGGGGAUCCCUCGGAAUUGUCGUGGCUUCUACUGUGGCCCGUUCUGCACGGAAGGUUGUGGUGCUCGGUGAACCCUUCAUGGGCGUAGCCGCAGCACCAUGGGUCAAGUUCCCAAUCAUCCGGAAGUGCACCCUGGGCUGUUCAACACGGUUGGAGCCAUGGGGCGGACGUGGUCGAAUCAAUCAGCAAUGUUUCUCCUGUCGCCUUGUCCCUCGGAAAAGUGUUCUGUCGAGGUGCCGGCCUGGCCUCACAGUGCAGGGUUGGUUUGUUGCGGGGAUCCCUCGGAAUUGUCGUUGCUUCUACCGAGGCCCGUUGUUCACGGAAGGUUGUGGUGCUCGGUGAACCCUUCUUGGGCGUAUCCGCAGCACCAUGCAUGGGUCAAGUUCCCAAGCAUCCGGAAGUGCACCCUGGGCUGUUCAACACGGUUGGAGCCAUGGGGCGGUCGUGGUCGAAUCAAUCAGCAAUGUUUCUCCUGUCGCCUUGUCCCUCGGGAAAGUGUUCUGUUGAGGUGCCGGCCUGGCCUCACAGUGCAGAGUUGGUUUGUUGCGGGGAUCCCUCGGAAUUGUCGUGCCUUCUACUGUGGCACGUUCUGCACGGAAGGUUGUGGUGCUCGGUGAACCCUUCAUGGGCAUAUAUGCAGAGCACGAAGGGGCGUAAGUCCCAUAAUCUGGUAGUGUGUUGUGGGUGGUUCCCAUGGCGGAAGCGAGGGUC